rnacentral:rRNA from 1 species
GUGCAGGGCGCGUGCUAUACAUGCAGUAGAACGCUGAAGGGAGGGCUUGCUCUUCUGGAUGAGUUGCGGACGGGUGAGUAACGCGUAGGUAACCCCCCCGGGAGCGGGGGAUAAAUAUUGGAAACGAUAACAAAAAAACCCGCAUAAGAGUAGAUGUUGCAUGACAAUUGUCCUAAAAAGUGCAAAAAAAACACCACCAAAAGAGACCUGCGUUGUAUUAACGAGUUGGGGGGGGAACGGCUCACCAAGGCGACGAUACAAAGUUCCCACCCUGAGAGGGGGAUCGGCCACACCUUGGGAAUGUAGACACGGCCCACACUCCUACUUUUGGAGGCAGGCAGUCGUGGAAUCUUCGGCCAAUGAACGGAAGUCUCACCCAACAACGCCGCGUGGAGUCAAGAAGGUUUUCGGAAUCGAAAAGCUUCUGUCUGUGAAAGAAAAAACGAAUCUGAGAAGUGGAAAGUUCACUACUGUGACGGGGUUAUACUCACCAUAUAGGGACGGCGAAAUACGGGCCAGCAGCCGCCGUAAUACCUAGCGUCCCGAGCGUUAUCCGAAUAUAUUGGGCGUAAAGCGAGCGCACGCCGUUAGAUAAGUCUGAAGUUAAAGGCUGUGGCUGAACCCUAGUACGCUGUGGAAACAGUUUAACUCGAGUGCAAGAAGGGAGAGUGGAAUGCCAUGUGUAGCGAUGAAAUGCGUACAUAUAUGGACGAAACACCGGUCGCGAACAGCUGCGCUCUCUGGCUAGUAACUAACGCUGACGCUCGAAAGCCUCGGCGAGCAAACAGGAUUAGAUACGCGUGGUAGUCCAAGCCGUAAACAAUGAGUGCUAGGUGUGAGACCCUUUCCGGGGUCUAGUGCCGCAGCUAAAGCAGUAAGCACUCCGCACUGAGGGAGUACGACCGCAAGGUUGAACACUCAAAGGAAUUGACGGCGGCCCGCACACAGCAGUCCAGCAUGUGGUUUAAUUCGAAGCAACGCGAAGAUACCUUACACAGGUCUUGACAUCCCUCUGACCCCCCUAGUAGAGAGAGUAUUCCUUCCGGACAGAAGUGACAGGUCGUGAAAGGUCGUCGUCAGCUACGGGUCAUGACGAAGUAGGGUUAAACCCCGCAACCGAGCGCAACCCCUAUGGUUAGUUACCAUCAUUUAGUUGGGACAUCCCCACCCACACAGCCCAAAAAAAAACGGAGGAAGGUGGGGAUAACCUAAAAUCAUCAACCCCCCAAAGACCUGGGCUACACACGUGUCCACAAUGUGCGGGGACAACCACCCGCAAGCCGGUGAAAAAAAAGCUAAUCUCUUAAAGCCAGUCUCAGUUUCGGAUUGGAGGCUGCAACCCCCCCACACCCAGAAAGGUCGGAAUCUGCUAGUAAUCGCGGAUCAGCACGCUCGCGGUGAAUAAGUUCCCGGGCCUUGCACACACCGCCCGUCACACCACGAGAGUAUAAAACACCCGAAGUCGGUGAGGUAACCGCAAGGAGCCAGCCGCCUAAGGUGAAGAAGGCAU